AUUGAACGCUGGCGGCAUGCCUUACACAUGCAAGUCGAACGGCAGCACGGGGGCAACCCUGGUGGCGAGUGGCGAACGGGUGAGUAAUACAUCGGAACGUGUCCAGUUGUGGGGGAUAACCAGUCGAAAGAUUGGCUAAUACCGCAUGCGCCCGAAAGGGGAAAGCGGGGGACCUGUGAGGGCCUCGCGCGAUUGGAGCGGCCGAUGUCCGAUUAGCUAGUUGGUGAGGUAACGGCUCACCAAGGCGACGAUCGGUAGCUGGUCUGAGAGGACGACCAGCCACACUGGGACUGAGACACGGCCCAGACUCCUACGGGAGGCAGCAGUGGGAAUUUGGACAAUGGGGGCAACCCUGAUCCAGCCAUGCCGCGUGUGUGAUGAAGGCC
rnacentral:rRNA from 1 species